rfam:Glycine max cultivar Williams 82 chromosome 14, whole genome shotgun sequence.
UUAUAGGCCUUUGAAGGCCAUUCACAAAUCCAAUAAAAAUAUGU